rnacentral:rRNA from 1 species
CAGCAGCCGCGGUAAUACGUAGGCGGCUAGCGUUAUCCGGAAUUACUGGGCGUAAAGGGUGCGUAGGCGGUCUUUCAAGCCAGAAGUGAAAGGCUACGGCUCAACCGUAGUAAGCUUUUGGAACUGUAGGACUUGAGUGCAGGAGAGGAGAGUGGAAUUCCUAGUGUAGCGGUGAAAUGCGUAGAUAUUAGGAGGAACACCAGUAGCGAAGGCGGCUCUCUGGACUGUAACUGACGCUGAGGCACGAAAGCGUGGGGAGCAAACAGGAUUAGAUACCCUGGUAGUCCACGCCGUAAACGAUGAGUACUAGGUGUCGGGGGUUACCCCCCUCGGUGCCGCAGCUAACGCAUUAAGUACUCCGCCUGGGAAGUACGCUCGCAAGAGUGAAACUCAAAGGAAAUUGACGG